rnacentral:rRNA from 1 species
UACGGAGGGUGCAAGCGUUAUCCGGAUUCACUGGGUUUAAAGGGUGCGUAGGAGGGCAGGUAAGUCAGUGGUGAAAUCUCCAAGCUUAACUUGGAAACUGCCGUUGAUACUAUCUGUCUUGAAUAUUGUGGAGGUGAGCGGAAUAUGUCAUGUAGCGGUGAAAUGCUUAGAUAUGACAUAGAACACCAAUUGCGAAGGCAGCUGGCUACACAAAUAUUGACACUGAGGCACGAAAGCGUGGGGAUCAAACAGG